UACGGAGGGAGCUAGCGUUGUUCGGAAUUACUGGGCGUAAAGCGCACGUAGGCGGCUUUUUAAGUCAGGGGUGAAAUCCCGGGGCUCAACCCCGGAACUGCCCUUGAAACUGGAGAGCUAGAAUCUUGGAGAGGCGAGUGGAAUUCCGAGUGUAGAGGUGAAAUUCGUAGAUAUUCGGAAGAACACCAGUGGCGAAGGCGACUCGCUGGACAAGUAUUGACGCUGAGGCGCGAAAGCGUGGGGAGCAAACAGG
rnacentral:rRNA from 1 species